rnacentral:pre_miRNA from 1 species
CUUGUACUCCCUCCGUCCGAAAAUAUUUGUCAUUGAAAUGGAUGUAUCUAGAUGUAUUUUAGUUCUAGACACAUCCAUUUUGAUGACAAGUAAUUCCGGACGGAGGGAGUACUUG